GCGGCGUGAGGGCGGCAGCGGCUGCGGCUGCUCCGCCCUGCGCUCCGUGCCCCGGUGACAUCUCGCUCCUCGUCUCCCGCGGCAUCCUCUGCACAGCUCUUUGCUACACCGGGCACUGCUCCGUGUCCGGUCGUGAGCUGCCGCGUGGGAGUGUGAAAAUGUGUUCAUCCUUCCCCAGGGAUGCUCCUUCUCGUUCCUAAUUCUUUGCGCUCGUUUGAGCUUUAGCUGCGUUCAGACCUGGUUUUCCCGUCCCCUUAGAGGAAAAGUCUUGGCCCCAGUGCAGAUUUAUCAGAGGAACCAGAGGCAGUGCCUGUACUGGAGCCUUCCCACAAGUUUCCAAGGAGAGCCUGCCCUUCUCAGACAGCUGCCAGAAGGUGGCUUGGAGGCACGAGAAGGACAAGGUGAUAUCCAUCAUCUGUGAGGACAAGCUGUGGUGGGACCAACAGGAGCCUUGCCUGGAGGAGGGGAGUGUCCUCGUGGGCCAAGGGAAGAGCAGUGAGAACCAUUUACUGUGACUUUAGCAAGGCCUGUGACAAAGCUCCCCAUGGUAUCCAGAGCUGUUUGAGAAGUGGAUCACACUCCCCAGUCCCUCCCUGUCUGAGUCAUUUUCCCCUGCUGUGCUUCCAUGGGGAAUGAAGUGCUGAAGACUGACUGUUUGAUUCAGAGGGCAGUAAGAGCCUUUUGGUCUGGAAGCCAUUUCCCCAGCCUUUCUAGACUGAUCCCAGCAUGAAGCAUCCUUAUGUCCAGUGUUUCAUCCCAUUGUGCUGAAAUGAAACAUUGAUGUUUGUGAACAUCUGUAGACAAUAUUGACAAUUUUGGAAAUUGAAAACAAAACACCCAAAAUAUAUCUGUGUGCUCAUUGGAACAAUGAGUUCUAGACUGAAUGUGUUUUUGUUUCUCACACUGAACAAAAGAGCAGUAUUUAGUCAAAAGUAUUGUUGGUGUCCCUGCUGGACCCUAACAUUAUCUUAUUCCUGAAAAACUUGCUGAGGAAAUUUGAAUGUUACAAGAAUGGGAGGAUAUGGUUGUAAGCUCUGUUCCAUCCUGUGUUGUUUUGGACCCUGGCCAUCAGGAAACAUUUAGUCUAUCUCAGAGAUGAAACACUUUCUCUUCAGAAGUAGUAUUAUGAGCAAGAUGUGUAAAUAAUCUGUGGCAAGCAGUGACUUUGUUACAGAAAGGGACACCAUCCCAACUUUUCCUUUCUUUGAUGAAAUUUUAAAGAGAGAUUUCUACAAACGAUGUGCCAGAGGGGAAUUUGCAAGGUUUGCAUUGACCUACAUAAACCCUAGUUGAACAUAAAAGCAGAUUAAAAGUUGUUUCACUCUGCUUCUGUCACCCUUUGUACUUUAUUAACCACUGAUCUUUAUUCUUAGUUAAUUCACAUAUGUUUAAUGCAGCAUUGCAAAUAUUUUUCCUCACAUCCUAAAGUAUUCAUAAAAAUAAGUCUGGGUGAGAAUAUUUGAAAGAGCAUUGUUUGUAAUUUUCUUGCCUCUGCACAGCUGUGUGUCUAGAAACUGGAAACACAGGCUUCUCUGUACUGCAGAGGAAUGGAAAUAAAUCAUAAUGCAUACUCUUUCAAAAGGAAUUAUGUAUCCUGGAGUAUCUCAGAUCAGGAAAACAUUGUGUUGCAUAGCUGGAGUUUUAUUUCAAAAGAUUAGCUCUAUACAGAUAUUCGCUUUUGUAUCUUAACUAGUUAUUUUACUGAAUGUGUCUGAUUUGGAUGAAAAGUUAUGUGGUUGACCUGAUCGAUUCAUGAGCCAUGAGUUGGUGGAGGGGAAGCAGGGAAAGGACAGUUUGAAGCAAAGGAAACAGAAAACCUUAUGGAGAAAGAAGACCAAGAUUGCCACAUAAUUCUAUGACUAAUUAUUCUCAAGAAUAUGUUUUUGGAGAAACAGGAUGAAAGGCAAAGUAAUACCUUUGAAAUAAUUUUGGAAGCCCAGCAUCAAAUCAAUUGUGCAACUAAAUUAUCAUCACAUUAUAAUAAUUCAGACACUUUUUCUUAAAAGCAGUUUUAAUAUGAAAUAUUUUAUGGUGGUUUGUGGGAAUCCGGAGCUUCCCUCUGGUUGCCCUGGAAGGUCUGGGUCCCUGGCAGGGGGUCAGGAACCCCCCCUAUACAGAGCCCCGAGAGACACUGUCUCUGAUAUCUGUCCAUGGAAAAGAGUUUUCAAUCUUACAGGAUGAAUUACAAGCUCUGGGUGUUUGAUAUAAGUAAUAAUUAAGUGUUGCACGGGUGCAAAAGUAAAAUUUCAGGAUUCUAGAUUAGGGGUCCAAAGGGGACAAGAUGGAAGAAAUUGGGUGUGUCUUGUCCUUUUUCUUCUUCUUCAUGCCCUCCAUGUUUCACUGUAAUGUUGGCAUUUUUCUAUUGGUUUAGGCUGGGGGCACACUGUUCAACGUAGGUGACAGAUAUUGGCACAUUAUUGUAAAUAUAGCACAGGUAGUUUCUGGUGUAUAAUGUUUGUAACAUCCCACUGGGGGCAGAGCCUCACACGCUGCCCUGCAGGACAGACCUGAGGCAGGGCAGCAGAACAUGUUAGAGAUAAACAGAAUAAACAACCUUGAAAACAGCA
rnacentral:lncRNA from 1 species